UGUCAAGGGAUGAGAAUCGAACCCACGACCUUCCGCUUACCGGGCAGAUGCCAUGACCACUUGGCUACCCUGGAC
rnacentral:tRNA from 1 species